rnacentral:rRNA from 1 species
GUAGGUGGCAAGCGUUGUCCGGAAUUAUUGGGCGUAAAGCGCGCGCAGGCGGUUCUUUAAGUCUGAUGUGAAAGCCCACGGCUCAACCGUGGAGGGUCAUUGGAAACUGGAGAACUUGAGUACAGAAGAGGAAAGCGGAAUUCCACGUGUAGCGGUGAAAUGCGUAGAGAUGUGGAGGAACACCAGUGGCGAAGGCGGCUUUCUGGUCUGUAACUGACGCUGAGGCGCGAAAGCGUGGGGGAGCAAACAGGAUUAGAUACCCUGGUAGUCCACGCCGUAAACGAUGAGUGCUAAGUGUUAGGGGGUUUCCGCCCCUUAGUGCUGCAGCUAACGCAUUAAGCACUCCGCCUGGGAGUACGGCCGCAAGGCCG